rnacentral:rRNA from 1 species
UACAGAGGGUGCAAGCGUUUGUUCGGAAUUAUUGGGCGUAAAGCGCGUGUAGGCGGCUUUGCAAGUCGGGUGUGAAAGCCCUCGGCUCAACCGAGGAAGUGCGCCCGAAACUGCAGAGCUUGAGUGCCGGAGAGGAUGGCGGAAUUCCCCAAGUAGAGGUGAAAUUCGUAGAUAUGGGGAGGAACACCGGUGGCGAAGGCGGCCAUCUGGACGGUCACUGACGCUGAGACGCGAAAGCGUGGGGAGCAAACAGG